CACACUGUAAACGAUGAAUGCUAGGUGUAGGGGGUAUCGACCCCUUCUGUGCCGAAGUAAACACAAUAAGCAUUCCGCCUGGGGAGUACGGUCGCAAGAUUAAAACUCAAAGGAAUUGACGGGGGCCCGCACAAGCAGCGGAGCAUGUGGUUUAAUUCGAAGCAACGCGAAGAACCUUACCAGGUCUUGACAUCCAUCUAAAGCUGCGGAGACGCAGUGUGAGCAAGCUCGAGAUGAGACAGGUGG
rnacentral:rRNA from 1 species